rnacentral:rRNA from 1 species
UGAGGAAUAUUGGUCAAUGGGCGAGAGCCUGAACCAGCCAAGUCGCGUGAAGGAAGACAGUCCUAAGGAUUGUAAACUUCUUUUAUACGGGAAUAACGGGCGAUACGAGUAUUGCAUUGAAUGUACCGUAAGAAUAAGCAUCGGCUAACUCCGUGCCAGCAGCCGCGGUAAUACGGAGGAUGCGAGCGUUAUCCGGAUUUAUUGGGUUUAAAGGGUGCGUAGGUUGUUCGGUAAGUCAGCGGUGAAACCUGAGCGCUCAACGUUCAGCCUGCCGUUGAAACUGCCGGGCUUGAGUUCUGUGGCGGCAGGCGGAAUUCGUGGUGUAGCGGUGAAAUGCAUAGAUAUCACGAGGAACUCCGAUUGCGAAGGCAGCUUGCCAUACUGCGACUGACACUGAAGCACGAAGGCGUGGGUAUCAAACAGG